rnacentral:rRNA from 1 species
AGAGUUUGAUCAUGGCUCAGAACGUACGCUGGCGGCACGCCUAACACAUGCAAGUCGAACGAAGUAGCAAUACUUAGUGGCAGACGGGUGAGUAACAUGUAGGUAUCUACCCUUUGGCCUGGAAUAACACGAGGAAACUUGUGCUAAUACCGGAUAAGUCUUUACGGAGAAAGCUUUAUGCACCAUUGGAUGAGCCUGCACUUGAUUAGUUUGUUGGUAGGGUAAUGGCCUACCAAGACUGUGAUCAAUAGCUGAUUUGAGAGGAUGAUCAGCCACAUUGGGACUGAGACACGGCCCAAACUCCUACGGGAGGCAGCAGUGGGGAAUCUUGCACAAUGGAGGAAACUCUGAUGCAGCGAUGCCGCGUGAGUGAAGAAGGCCUUUGGGUUGUAAAGCUCUUUCGUCGGGGAAGAAAAUGACUGUACCCGAAUAAGAAGGUCCGGCUAACUUCGUGCCAGCAGCCGCGGUAAUACGAAGGGACCUAGCGUAGUUCGGAAUUACUGGGCUUAAAGAGUUCGUAGGUGGUUGAAAAAGUUAGUGGUGAAAUCCCAGAGCUUAACUCUGGAACUGCCAUUAAAACUUUUCAGCUAGAGUAUGAUAGAGGAAAGCAGAAUUUCUAGUGUAGAGGUGAAAUUCGUAGAUAUUAGAAAGAAUACCAAUUGCGAAGGCAGCUUUCUGGAUCAUUACUGACACUGAGGAACGAAAGCAUGGGUAGCGAAGAGGAUUAGAUACCCUCGUAGUCCAUGCCGUAAACGAUGUGUGUUAGACGUUGGAAAUUUAUUUUCAGUGUCGCAGCGAAAGCGAUAAACACACCGCCUGGGGAGUACGACCGCAAGGUUAAAACUCAAAUGAAUUGACGGGGACCCGCACAAGUAGUGGAGCAUGUGGUUUAAUUCGAAGAUACGCGCAGAACCUUACCAACACUUGACAUGUUCGUCGCGACUCUAAGAGAUUAGAGUUUUCGGUUCGGCCGGACGAAACACAGGUGCUGCAU